rnacentral:rRNA from 1 species
UGGGGAAUUUUGGACAAUGGGCGAAAGCCUGAUCCAGCAAUACCGCGUGUGUGAAGAAGGCCUUCGGGUUGUAAAGCACUUUUGUCCGGAAAGAAAUCCUUGGCUCUAAUACAGUCGGGGGAUGACGGUACCGGAAGAAUAAGCACCGGCUAACUACGUGCCAGCAGCCGCGGUAAUACGUAGGGUGCAAGCGUUAAUCGGAAUUACUGGGCGUAAAGCGUGCGCAGGCGGUUUGCUAAGACCGAUGUGAAAUCCCCGGGCUCAACCUGGGAACUGCAUUGGUGACUGGCAGGCUAGAGUAUGGCAGAGGGGGGUAGAAUUCCACGUGUAGCAGUGAAAUGCGUAGAGAUGUGGAGGAAUACCGAUGGCGAAGGCAGCCCCCUGGGCCAAUACUGACGCUCAUGCACGAAAGCGUGGGGAGCAAACAGGAUUAGAUACCCUGGUAGUCCACGCCCUAAAACGAUGUCAACUAGUUGUUGGGGAUUCAUUUCCUUAGUAACGUAGCUAACGCGUGAAGUUGACCGCCUGGGGAGUACGGUCGCAAGAUUAAAACUCAAAUGAAUUGACGGGGUCAUAGCUGUUUCCU